rnacentral:lncRNA from 1 species
UAAAGAAAAAGAAAAAGUGCAAAAAAACAAAGAAUUAGAUUAAAAUAUUAUGAACUAGGCUACUAUGCUAUUAAUAGCACCAAGUCAUUGGUGCUACCAAGUUUUUGGUCAUUGGAUUAAGAGAUGUGCGAUUAGGAUAAUGUGGGACCCCUCGGGUUGAGUGGGUGAUUGGUUGAAUAGUAUAAUCUAACGGGUGAAAAUGACCAAAAGGGUAGAUCUAACGGCGGAAAACUUGGUAGCACCAAGUGCUUUGUGCUAGUAAUAGCAUAGUAGCCGGACUCAAAUAUUAUUAAUAGCACUAAAUUAUUGGUGCUAUUAAGUUUUUGAUUUACCGACCGUCCCUAGAGCAUGUGGCAAAAGACUUGGUGGUUGGUAUCGAGAUCCUAAGUUCGAAUUCUAGUUGAUUCACAUUUAUAGCUAAGUUUAUUUUUCGAAGUUUUUGAUUUUUGAAUAAAGCUAUAUGCAGUUAGGAUAUCUCUUAAAAAAAAAAGUUUUUGAUUUUUCAAUGAAUCGAUGUAUGGUUAGAAUGAUAGUGGUCUUUAAAGUUGAGUGUGUGGUUGAUUGAAUAGUUAUAAUCUAACAAGUAAAGAUAAUCAAAGGUUGAUCUAACACA